rnacentral:rRNA from 1 species
UACGUAGGGGGCAAGCGUUAUCCGGAUUUACUGGGUGUAAAGGGAGCGUAGGCGGUGAUGCAAGUCAGAAGUGAAAGCCCGCAGCUCAACUGCGGGACUGCUUUUGAAACUGUAUGACUAGAUUGCAGGAGAGGUAAGUGGAAUUCCUAGUGUAGCGGUGAAAUGCGUAGAUAUUAGGAGGAACACCAGUGGCGAAAGCGGCUCUCUGGCCUGUAACUGACACUGAGGCUCGAAAGCGUGGGGAGCAAACAGG